AGUGAACGCUGGCGGUAGGCCUAACACAUGCAAGUCGAACGGCAGCACAGGAGAGCUUGCUCUCUGGGUGGCGAGUGGCGGACGGGUGAGGAAUACAUCGGAAUCUACCUUUUCGUGGGGGAUAACGUAGGGAAACUUACGCUAAUACCGCAUACGACCUUCGGGUGAAAGCAGGGGACCUUCGGGCCUUGCGCGGAUAGAUGAGCCGAUGUCGGAUUAGCUAGUUGGCGGGGUAAAGGCCCACCAAGGCGACGAUCCGUAGCUGGUCUGAGAGGAUGAUCAGCCACACUGGAACUGAGACACGGUCCAGACUCCUACGGGAGGCAGCAGUGGGGAAUAUUGGACAAUGGGCGCAAGCCUGAUCCAGCCAUACCGCGUGGGUGAAGAAGGCCUUCGGGUUGUAAAGCCCUUUUGUUGGGAAAGAAAAGCAGCCAGCUAAUACCUGGUUGUUCUGACGGUACCCAAAGAAUAAGCACCGGCUAACUUCGUGCCAGCAGCCGCCGUAA
rnacentral:rRNA from 1 species